GUUAAACUCUCACCUUGAGUCCAGAGGGCCAGUGUGCAGAUGAAGACGCUGAUCAAAGUCAUGGUUGCUGUGGGUGAAGUUGCUGAGCAGCAGCUCUCAGUCAUGAAGUGUUAAAGCCACAGGGCUAUAAACACUUGCAGAGCACUGAAGCAUGGACUGCAAAUGCAAAGUGUGUGUGUGUGUGUGUGUGUGUGUGUCUGUGUGUGUGUGUGUGUGUGUGUGUGCGUGCACUGCACUGUGAAGGAGGUUUUUGUACGAUGGCUUCAUUAGAAUGUAACACUGUGGUGGGCUUUUGGUGGAGGCACCAGAAUCAUUGUGAACAAGGGUCCCUCCGUGUCUCUGCUCCCUCCGUCCCCUCUGCAGCUGUGUGAGGGAUCGGCCUCGCUGCUCUGCCUGCUGUCUGACUACUCUCCACAGGGGGCGCUGGUGAGCUGGACAGUGGACGGCUCAGAGGUGAAGAACGGGGUUCUGACCAGUGCAGAAGAAGAGAAGAAGGGCGGUUACACACGCAGCAGUACCCUGACCCUCAGCAAAGCAGUCUGGGAAAAGGCAGAGGAGUUUGUCUGUAAGGUCUCCCAUAAAGGCAUCAAUUAUCCGGUCAACUUCAGAAAGAGUCAGUGUGAAGGCUAGUGGCUCCAAGAUAGAUUUUAACAUAGAGCUGCUUAUGAUCCAUCUACAAUAGAGUUUCAAUUCUACACAAUGCUGCCAUUUCUGUCUUUACUCUGUUCACUGUCCUGUUGAUCUUCCUGUAGUUUUUGCUGAAAUAAAGCUGAAUUUUGGA